GAUGAACGCUGGCGGCGUGCUUAACACAUGCAAGUCGAACGGGAUCCAUCAGGCUUUGCUUGGUGGUGAGAGUGGCGAACGGGUGAGUAAUGCGUGACCGACCUGCCCCAUACACCGGAAUAGCUCCUGGAAACGGGUGGUAAUGCCGGAUGCUCCGACUCCUCGCAUGGGGUGUCGGGAAAGAUUUCAUCGGUAUGGGAUGGGGUCGCGUCCUAUCAGGUAGUCGGCGGGGUAACGGCCCACCGAGCCUACGACGGGUAGCCGGCCUGAGAGGGCGACCGGCCACAUUGGGACUGAGAUACGGCCCAGACUCCUACGGGAGGCAGCAGUGGGGAAUAUUGCACAAUGGGCGCAAGCCUGAUGCAGCGACGCCGCGUGCGGGAUGACGGCCUUCGGGUUGUAAACCGCUUUUGAUCGGGAGCAAGCCUUCGGGUGAGUGUACCUUUCGAAUAAGCACCGGCUAACUACGUGCCAGCAGCCGCGGUAAUACGUAGGGUGCAAGCGUUAUCCGGAAUUAUUGGGCGUAAAGGGCUCGUAGGCGGUUCGUCGCGUCCGGUGUGAAAGUCCAUCGCUUAACGGUGGAUCUGCGCCGGGUACGGGCGGGCUGGAGUGCGGUAGGGGAGACUGGAAUUCCCGGUGUAACGGUGGAAUGUGUAGAUAUCGGGAAGAACACCAAUGGCGAAGGCAGGUCUCUGGGCCGUUACUGACGCUGAGGAGCGAAAGCGUGGGGAGCGAACAGGAUUAGAUACCCUGGUAGUCCACGCCGUAAACGGUGGAUGCUGGAUGUGGGGCCCGUUCCACGGGUUCCGUGUCGGAGCUAACGCGUUAAGCAUCCCGCCUGGGGAGUACGGCCGCAAGGCUAAAACUCAAAGAAAUUGACGGGGGCCCGCACAAGCGGCGGAGCAUGCGGAUUAAUUCGAUGCAACGCGAAGAACCUUACCUGGGCUUGACAUGUUCCCGACAGCCGUAGAGAUAUGGCCUCCCUUCGGGGCGGGUUCACAGGUGGUGCAUGGUCGUCGUCAGCUCGUGUCGUGAGAUGUUGGGUUAAGUCCCGCAACGAGCGCAACCCUCGCCCUGUGUUGCCAGCACGUCAUGGUGGGAACUCACGGGGGACCGCCGGGGUCAACUCGGAGGAAGGUGGGGAUGACGUCAGAUCAUCAUGCCCCUUACGUCCAGGGCUUCACGCAUGCUACAAUGGCCGGUACAACGGGAUGCGACACGGCGACGUGGAGCGGAUCCCUGAAAACCGGUCUCAGUUCGGAUUGGAGUCUGCAACCCGACUCCAUGAAGGCGGAGUCGCUAGUAAUCGCGGAUCAGCAACGCCGCGGUGAAUGCGUUCCCGGGCCUUGUACACACCGCCCGUCAAGUCAUGAAAGUGGGUAGCACCCGAAG
rnacentral:rRNA from 1 species